AUGAUGAUUUAGUUAUUAUAUUACAGUUAGAAACAACCUGAACUCCUGAUGUUAAUUUACUAGGGCGGUCUGAGGCU